GAUGAACGCUGGCGGCGUGCUUAACACAUGCAAGUCGAACGAUGAAGCCCAGCUUGCUGGGUGGAUUAGUGGCGAACGGGUGAGUAACACGUGAGUAACCUGCCCUUAACUCUGGGAUAAGCCUGGGAAACUGGGUCUAAUACCGGAUAGGAGCGCCUACCGCAUGGUGGGUGUUGGAAAGAUUUAUCGGUUUUGGAUGGACUCGCGGCCUAUCAGCUUGUUGGUGAGGUAAUGGCUCACCAAGGCGACGACGGGUAGCCGGUCUGAGAGGGUGACCGGCCACACUGGGACUGAGACACGGCCCAGACUCCUACGGGAGGCAGCAGUGGGGAAUAUUGCACAAUGGGCGAAAGCCUGAUGCAGCGACGCCGCGUGAGGGAUGACGGCCUUCGGGUUGUAAACCUCUUUCAGUAGGGAAGAAGCGAAAGUGACGGUACCUGCAGAAGAAGCACCGGCUAACUACGUG
rnacentral:rRNA from 1 species